GACGCCGACCGACGGGUCGGGCGGGCGCCUGCAAAGCGUUCGGAGUGGGUUCAACUCCCAACGGCGUCU
rnacentral:tRNA from 1 species